CCUACGGGGGGCAGCAGUGGGGGAUAUUGCACAAUGGGGGAAACCCUGAUGCAGCGACGCCGCGUGGGUGAGGAAGCGCCUCGGCGCGUAAAGCUCUGUCAGCAGGGAAGAAAAUGACGGUACCUGAAGAAGAAGCCCCGGCUAACUACGUGCCAGCAGCCGCGGUAAUACGUAGGGGGCAAGCGUUAUCCGGAUUUACUGGGUGUAAAGGGGGCGCAGACGGCGAUGCAAGCCAGGGGUGAAAGCCCGGGGCCCAACCUCGGGACUGCUCUUGAAACUGCGUGGCUAGAGUGCAGGAGGGGCAGGCGGAAUGCCUGGUGUAGCGGUGAAAUGCGUAGAUAUCAGGAGGAACACCGGUGGCGAAGGCGGCCUGCUGGACUGCAACUGACGUUGAGGCCCGAAAGCGUGGGGAGCAAACAGGAUUAGAUACCCCAGUAGUC
rnacentral:rRNA from 1 species